rnacentral:rRNA from 1 species
AAAAUUUAAAUUUAAGAUACUAAAAUAGUAAAUAAUUAUUUAUUGAAACUUAAAUAAUUUGGCGGUAUUUUAGUUCAUUUAGAGGAAUCUGUUUAAUAAUUGAUAAUCCACGAAUAAAUUUACUUAAUUUAUAAUUUUGUAUAUCGAUGUUAAAAAAAUAUUUUUUAAUAAAAUUAAUAUUUAAAAAUUAAUAUUUGAAAUUAAAUCAGAUCAAGAUGCAGAUUAUAAUUAAGAUUAUAAUGGAUUACAAUAAAUUUAUUUAAAUGGAUUUUAAUUUGUAAAAAUUAAUUAAAAGUGGAUUUAAAUGUAAUUUUAUUUAAUUUAUUAAAAUGAUUUAAAAUUAAAAUAUGU